rnacentral:rRNA from 1 species
GUGGGGAAUUUUGGACAAUGGGCGCAAGCCUGAUCCAGCAAUGCCGCGUGAGUGAUGAAGGCCUUCGGGUUGUAAAGCUCUGUGGGGAGGGAAGAAAAAGCGGGAGAGUAACUGCUCUCGUGUUGACGGUACCUCCUUAGCAAGCACCGGCUAACUCUGUGCCAGCAGCCGCGGUAAUACAGAGGGUGCAAACGUUGCUCGGAAUUACUGGGCGUAAAGCGCGUGUAGGCUGACAUGCAAGUCGGGUGUGAAAUCCCAGGGCUCAACCUUGGAACUGCACUCGAAACUGCACGUCUUGAGUACUGGAGAGGGAAGCGGAAUUCCGGGUGUAGAGGUGAAAUUCGUAGAUAUCCGGAGGAACACCAGUGGCGAAGGCGGCUUCCUGGACAGUAACUGACGCUGAGACGCGAAAGCGUGGGGAGCAAACAGGAUUAGAUACCCGGGUAGUCC